UACAGAGGGGGCAAGCGUUGUUCGGAAUUACUGGGCGUAAAGGGCGCGUAGGCGCCUUCUAAGUCGAACGUGAAAUCCCUGGGCUCAACCCAGGAACUGCGUCCGAUACUGGAAGGCUUGAAUCCGGGAGAGGGAUGCGGAAUUCCAGGUGUAGCGGUGAAAUGCGUAGAUAUCUGGAGGAACACCGGUGGCGAAGGCGGCAUCCUGGACCGGUAUUGACGCUGAGGCGC
rnacentral:rRNA from 1 species